UCUGGCUGUGAUGAUUCACUUGCCCUCACUGCAAAUGUACUUUGGUGAUGAUACUGAUUAUGUGUUGCUGAGCCAGC
rnacentral:snoRNA from 1 species